AGCAGCCGCGGUAAUUCCAGCUCCAAUAGCGUAUAUUAAAGUUGUUGCAGUUAAAAAGCUCGUAGUUGAAUUUCGGGAUCAAUAUGUUGGUCGUACCAUUGGUACGUACUGGCAUUAUUGAUUCCUACCUUCUGAAGAACCUUGAUGUCAUUAAUUUGGUGUCUUGGGGAAUCAGGACUGUUACUUUGAAAAAAUUAGAGUGUUUAAAGCAGGCUCGCGCUUGAAUACAUUAGCAUGGAAUAAUGAAAUAGGACGUUUGAUUCUAUUUUGUUGGUUUCUAGGAUCGAUGUAAUGAUUAAUAGGGAUAGUUGGGGGCAUUAGUAUUCAAUUGUCAGAGGUGAAAUUCUUGGAUUUAUUGAAGACUAACUACUGCGAAAGCAUUUGCCAAGGAUGUUUUCAUUAAUCAAGAACGAAAGUUAGGGGAUCGAAGACGAUCAGAUACCGUCGUAGUCUUAACCAUAAACUAUGCCGACUAGGGAUCGGAUGAUGUUAAUUUUUUAAUGACUCAUUCGGCGCCUUACG
rnacentral:rRNA from 1 species